CGGGGUGUAGCUCAGCCCGGUAGAGCACUGUCUUCGGGAGGCAGGGGCCGGUGGUUCGAAUCCACUCACCCCGACCA
rnacentral:tRNA from 1 species